AGCAGCCGCGGUAAUUCCAGCUCCAAUAGCGUAUAUUAAAGUUGUUGCAGUUAAAAAGCUCGUAGUUGAAUUUCGAAAUUUUUUAUCGGUUAAAUCAACAGGUUUAUACUGAUUUUAAGAAUUUCUACCUUCUGGAGAACCUUAAUGUCAUUUAUUUGAUGUUUUGGGAAACCAGGACUGUUACCUUGAAAAAUUAGAGUGUUUAAAGCAGGCUUAUGUCUGAAUAUAUUAGCAUGGAAUAAUGAAAUAGGACGGCAUGGUUCUAUUUUGUUGGUUUCUAGGAUCACCGUAAUGAUUAAUAGGGAUAGUUGGGGGCAUUAGUAUUCAAUUGUCAGAGGUGAAAUUCUUGGAUUUAUUGAAGACUAACUUCUGCGAAAGCAUUUGCCAAGGAUGUUUUCAUUAAUCAAGAACGAAAGUUAGGGGAUCGAAGACGAUCAGAUACCGUCGUAG
rnacentral:rRNA from 1 species